rnacentral:rRNA from 1 species
CAGCAGCCGCGGUAAUACGGAGGGUGCAAGCGUUAAUCGGAAUUACUGGGUGUAAAGCGCACGCAGGCGGUCUGUCAAGUCAGAUGUGAAAUCCCCGGGCUUAACCUGGGAACUGCAUUUGAAACUGGCAGGCUAGAGUCUUGUAGAGGGGGGUAGAAUUCCAGGUGUAGCGGUGAAAUGCGUAGAGAUCUGGAGGAAUACCGGUGGCGAAGGCGGCCCCCUGGACAAAGACUGACGCUCAGGUGCGAAAGCGUGGGGAGCAAACAGGAUUAGAUACCCGCGUAGUCCCUGUCUCUUAUAC